CGGGAGCUUGCACAGGUGCUGCAUGGCUGUCGUCAGCUCGUGUCGUGAGAUGUUCGGUUAAGUCCGCUAACGAGCGCAACCCUCGCUGUGUGUUAUAUGUAUCACACGGGACUGCCGGUCUUAAGCCGGAGGAAGGUGGGGAUGAUGUCAAGUCAGCAUGGCCUUUAUAUCCUGGGCUACACACACGCUACAAUGGCCAACACAAUAGGUUGCUAAGCCGCGAGGUGGCGCCAAUACCAUAAAGUUGGUCUCAGUUCAGAUUGUAGGCUGCAACCCGCCUGCAUGAAGAUGGAGUUGCUAGUAACCGCAGGUCAGCUAUACUGCGGUGAAUACGUUCCCGGGGCUU
rnacentral:rRNA from 1 species